rnacentral:rRNA from 1 species
UGGGGAAUAUUGCACAAUGGGCGCAAGCCUGAUGCAGCCAUGCCGCGUGUGUGAAGAAGGCCUUCGGGUUGUAAAGCACUUUCAGCGAGGAGGAAGGUGGUGAGCUUAAUACGCUCAUCAAUUGACGUUACUCGCAGAAGAAGCACCGGCUAACUCCGUGCCAGCAGCCGCGGUAAUACGGAGGGUGCAAGCGUUAAUCGGAAUUACUGGGCGUAAAGCGCACGCAGGCGGUUUGUUAAGUCAGAUGUGAAAUCCCCGGGCUCACUGGGAACUGCAUUGAACUGGCAAGCUAGAGUCUCGUAGAGGGGGUAGAAUUCCAGGUGGUAGCGGUGAAAUGCGUAGAGAUCUGGAGGAAUACCGGUGGCGAAGGCGGCCCCCUGGACG